AUGAAGGUUAUCGUAUUGAUGUUAGUUUCAGCCCUGCCUUUGUUGUCGGGGCUCCGGGCGGCCGUGACCCUGCUGGAGUGCGGGGGGGACCUCCAGCCCCCCGGGGGGUCCCUGCGCCUCCUCUGCCGAGGGUCCGGGUUCAGUUUCGGCAAUUUUGACAUGUUCUGGAUCCGCCAGAAACCCAGGCAGGGGCUGGAAUGGGUCGCAGGGAUCAGGAGCAAUGGUGACAGCACCGGCUACGCUGCCUCAGUGCAGGGCCGGUUCACGAUCUCCAGGGACAACGGGCAGAGCUCGAUGACGCUGACCAUGAACAACCUCAAGGACGAGGAUUCCGGAUCCUAUUUCUGCGCCAAAUGUGUUAAUGACGGUUGUGCUUUCUACUUUCUCCACAAUUUUGGGGUCAAAUCUCUCCAGCUCCCUGGCCCCUGA